UGGUCAGUAUGUGAAUGUGGGUGUAUGUGCGAUCGAGAGAAAGGGGCAGGGGAGAAACCCUUCAUCCAAAAAUCCUACAAAUUGACCAAAUUGAGAAGGUUCAGAGCUGAAUUCUAAAUGCAUGAGUUAGGAAUGUUCAUCCCCUAAGUGAAUUUCAUAUCAAGAUUUAAAGAAGGCGGCUCGAGUCAACCGGGACGCAAACAAGACAAGACAAAGGUAAAUAUUCCUUUGGAGCAAAUCUUGGACCGGAGGAACGAACACACAUUGCGCCAUUUAAUAGCUUCCGCUCGUCAAGUUCUAAAGGGUGAUAGUGUCUUUUUGUUAAUGGAUGUUUUUAUUUAUUUAUGAUGUAAUGGUUAUAAUUUUUAUGUCUUUUGGAACGUGUCGUUGAAUUUAGUAUUUGAAUGAUGAUUCUUAAAAGCAGGGAAUCACUUAUAGUACGAACGGGUCAUGCCCAGUUUUUGUUAAAAUUAACAUGUCAUUAUUAUUAUAUUCGAAUGUGAAUUAAGGGCGUUUCAAGUUGGUAUCAGAGCGAAGGUUUGUGUGAUUCAAGUUGCGUUUGGUCGGCUUGAACUCAAACCGGAGGCUCUUUCGAAGUGUGUGUGUUCGUUCCAAGAAACCGGACAAGAAGGAAGGUACGUACAUGUUAUUUUUAUUUUACCAUAGAUAUCUUAGUUGGUGGAAAUUUAGUAGUCGGGAGACCGGGGUACUGGUAGUAAGUUUUAAAACUUGUUAAGAAGCGAACCGGAAUGAAUCUUGACGGUUUGGUGUCACACCUCGACCACGUAAAACAUCAAAU